UUUUUUUUUGGCCAGAAACUCUAUACAACCUUAUCACUGACACCUCUCUGCAGUUUCAAAUUCCAACUUUGUGCCAAAUCCCCAUUUCCUGCUGCUUAAUUUCCAUUCAUUUACUCUUGUUUUUGCUUCUUCUGCCAUUCCCAGCAUGGACCAGCUCCAGCCCAGCUUCUUCUAAUUUUUUAAGGAAGGCUUCCCAUCGAGUGCUAUUGGAAUCUGAGCCUACGCUCCAUGCCAGUGACUGGCCAUUGUUUAUAUUACCUAACAACAGUUGCCAAUAGGAUGGCUUCUUUCCUUUUCUUUGUUUCUCUCCUGGAGUGUAUAUACUAAGGCCCAAGAGAACUUUCUCCCUGCAUAUGGUGACCCAGUGGGUCUGGCUUUAUUAUUACUUCAGUCGAAUCUGAAGUAGCCUUUUCCAUCUCUUUUUCAAGAGGAAAACAUCAAAUAAAAUCGAGCCUGGAUGUUUUGUUUACCCUGCUCAUAGGGACCUGAGCUGCUUCAGCCUGUGCUAAAGUACUGUAAGGACUGGGUCCUUCGGAGCCUGGCCAAGUUAGGAAGUAAGAAGACAAGGAAAAAGGGGUGGGUUGGGGGGAUUUGCUGAGACCAAGCUUACAGAGAGGUGGAGGAAUGGCCACUCUUGGGCUCAAGGACAUCUUAGAUUUGUUAAGACAGAAGCAACAUAGGGUGGAUUUUCUGGCUUCCAGGGCGGGAAAGAUUCAUGUUUCAAAUAUGCUCUUAUAAGCAAAUGAAUUGGGGUAUGAAAAGGUAACCAACAGUUUCCUUGCCACAGUGGAAGUCUUGUUUGGGGAGGUUUUCUGGCUUUUCAUUUUGUUCCUCCUAAAUCCAUAGCUCAACCACCAGCUUGGUCCUUCACACCAGAGCCAUUCUGCCAUCAUUGCAAAUAUCUCUGCCUUCAAGUUCAGCUCCCUGCUUUCUCUCCCUCUGGGUUUUGUUACCUCUAGUCACACCUCUGCAGGCCCAUCGAAAACAUGGCAUCCAAAUCGGAGGCGUUAAAAGUCAGGAAUGGGGACCCCCUCAGAAGCAAAUACCAUCAGGGCUGGAGAAAAGAUAAUUGUCCAUGGUGACAAAGGCUCCUGAUCACCUCUCCUCCCACCUGUCCCCACUGCAACCCCUAAAUUGUAGAGCAGCCCCCUUAAACCCCUAUUACACCAUGUUUUCUCUGUCCGUCUGGCCUCUGGUCUCCUGAUAUCAGGUUCUCUCUGAAGCUGCACUUAAAAACUUUUUGUGUCUAAGAGAAAAAGCUUCCAUCCCACAACGUUUGAAAUGUUCUCAGAUACUUUCUUUCCCCAGCUUGCAGAGCAAUAAUAUUACUUCUCAGGAGAGCAAAAGAAAGGUGCCUUCUUACACGGUUUUAUGGUGUCGAUGUGCCUCUAAAACAUUACCUUUUGUUGAACGACUUCAUUCACAUUUUAAGAGCAAAGUCGUUUUUCCGGUAGAAUAGAGUUGGGUUAUCCCCCUGACCCAGCCCAGGCCAACAGUCUCUCAAGCUGUAUACUGUGAAUAACACCAAAGACCUGAAAGCAUUUCUCACAUUUUUAAAACUGUGUGUGUGUGUGUGUGUGUGUGUGUGUGUGCGUGUGCGUGUGUGUGUGUGUGUGUGUGUGUUUGUGUGAACGCCAUUUUAGAUAAAUUGCUAUGGAGCACAGGUAUUUAAAUGAGCUAGUUGAGCUGGAUGAGACUUGUUUCAGGUUUGUUGCUAGAGAGCAAUAAUAAAAUGAUUUUUUUCCAGAAACUAUUUAAUUUCUUCGUAAAAAUGUUAAAUAUUUUUAAAUGUGUAUAUCUAACAGUACUGAAAAUGGAAUAAACACCAUAGUGUAUAGAAAACUGAAUUGGACAACAUAUUAAUGAAUAAGGGAAUACAUGAUUUCAAAAAGAAAACAAGUCCACAGUCGUACCCAAGGUGUAAGUCUAAGGCAGGGUAAAAUGAACAAUCCAAAUCCCAGACCAUUUGUCUUUCCUGGUUUCUGGCAGGGCUACCCUUGCACCCAUCUAUUACCCUGAAGCCAUUAUCUUCAAGCCUCUGGGGUGGGAGUGGGGGAUGGAGAAGAACUUCCCUGGCAACUCAGAGAUUACGACCAUCCACCUUCACUUCGUUCCUCCAGCCUGGGGUCUCUGAACCAUGAAGGGCAGAUUCAGCCCUUGCUCAGGGAUGUAGGGGUUCUCAGGACCAUGACCUCAUUUGAAUUCCUGAUGGAAGGGAAGUCUGUCAUCAGAUGGACAGUCUAUUUUAAAAGAAGUAGGAGUUCUAAGAGAAGGACCAAUUCCACACCCCAGGGUCAGCUGUAGCUCUCUUCCCCCAGCUGGGGGUAGGCUCCCUAAAGUGAGCCUGUAACAUAGGCAGUAACGCCCAUUGUUCCAACCACGGAAGGCGGAGAAAAACCAUUGCCUCUGAAAACUUGAUACACAAAUAAACAAUUCGAUAGCCAGAAUAAAUAGUCAUCAGAUCUCACCAGUGUAAGAAAUGAAUGAGGGAUGAAAACUGGGGGGGGGGGGGGGUGCAUAGUUCUCAUUUGUCACUUCAACAGUCAAGAUGAACCCCACUGGAAAGGUUCAAUUUGCUGUAAAUUUUCUGCUUUGCUGGAGGAUACUUGCGGAUGCUUUUCACACAAGAUGAGUCCGUAAAAGAAGAAAUGGUCCCCUGAAAAUAUUUUACAUAUUCAAGAGCCUUUACUCUUUGAAACCAUUCUUUUCCUAAAGCAUCAUCAAAAGGUCUCCUGAGAGCUGCAGGUGUUGAGUUGGUCAGAAGAAUCACUGGUAUAUUCUUCCAAAAGCCAGAAUAUAAUAUGUAAGUAAUUAAAUCUGCUUAAAGGUAUCUUUCCCCACCUCUUUCAAUUCCCUAAUUUUAGAUUCCUAAAACUAUGAAUGUUAAUAAUGCUACUGAAAUAUAAAUAUAAAUGCAUAUGAAUAUACACAUAUAUCCAGAUAUGUUUUUAUAAUGUUAGAUGUAAAUACUGAUGUCAAUAACAGGAUAACUGCCCUGCCCUCCAGAAGCAAGAAGUAUUGGCCCCAAUAUAACUAUGCCAGGUCCCAGGAGAUGAUGGGAUUAGCUUCUACCUGUCUGUUAUCCAGACAUAUCUGAAUCUAGCCUCUCAACCCAAAGCCAUCAUGGGUUAACACCAUGGGUUAAUUCAUCAUGGGUUAACACCACACACUUUCUUGUAUCUACACAGCCUGACCCCGCCCUCCCCCCAAAAAAUCUGCCAGUGAGUGACAUCAACAUGUUUUCCUAGGCUAACAAGCUUCUCUGUUCUUCAGCAGCCAAAAUCUUUUAAGUGGCUCUUAAACCAAGACAGCCCAAGGAAGAAUAAUGUCAAACCCAAGCCAUAGUUCCGUGGUGUGAACACAAAAUCUACAGAACCCAAGUUCAAAAUGAUUUACAGACAGUUUGAUCAGAGGCAGAUGUAAAAUGGUGUCUCACUGGAGACAGGCCAGGGGCUAUCAAUCCGAAUCCCCUACAACAAGUGAUGUCAUUAGUCAGAAUCAAUGCAUUAUGGAGACAAUUUUCUCUUUUGUCUCUUGGCCCAGGGAGUUUUCCGAGUUGCAUUUCAUCACUAGAUUGCAAGGCACUCGUAUUACAAAGUGGCUGACAGGAAUCACAACCAGGACUCUGUCACGUGGUUCCUUGGAGGAGUAGGGGGAAGGUUUAAGGAUUAAAUCCAAUUAGACAUGGGAGACUCGGAAAAACUAGUCCAAGGUCUUUGUUGGCAGGUCAAUGUUGAACUUGUCUAAUCCAUUCCUGUUGUUUAUAUAACUUUGAAGGGCAUGACUUUGGACUCGCAGGUGCAAGGAUAAUAUGGGGAGAGAUGCUGAGUUCAGGUCUCCCCUGAAAGAAAUCACCUGAUCACCUUGGCUUGGCUGAGACCUAGGGAACGACUCAUUGCUCAAGGCCAAGACUUCUAGCCUUUGGCCUCUGUGCCCUCACUUUCCUCCUCCCCAAGGCCAGAGAGCCCCAUUUACCUCUAAGAUCUUCACAUCCCCAACUCUCUUCUUAAAUCCUUAAAGAGGAGUUCUCGUUGUGGCUUGGCGGUAACAAGCCCAACUAGUAUCCAUGAGAACAUAGGUUCGAUCCCUGGCCUCGCUCAGUGAGUAAGAUCCAACAUUGCCAUGAGCUGUGGUGUAGGUGGCAGACGUGGCUUGGAUCCUGCCACUGCUGUGGCUGUGGUGUAGGCCAGCAGCUGCAGCUCCAAUUUGACCCCCAGCCUGGGAACUUCCAUAUGCUGCACGUGUGGCCCUAAAAGGCAAAAAUAAACAAACAAAUAAAUAGAUAAGUACCCCUAAAGAAUGGCCGGGGUUUGGCCAUUUAAUGUGAGAGCAGUUCUGUAACACCCUCCCCAGGUGUCAACAUGUGGACAAUCCUUCUUUAACCAUUGAUGUUAUCAAGGAAAUUUUACAUCAUACAUAGCCUCAUGCUGUCUUUUAAGAUCUUCCAAAGCUCUCUGAAGAGGUAUGAUAGAGACUAGGAAUGAAAACAGGAAAAUUAAAGAAAAUGAGACUCUCAUUUUCUAACUGCCUUCAAGCUCUUCCUAGAGAAAAAUCCUCUAUUCGGUCCCAUGUGUGUCUCCAAUACAGGGUAUUUUUCCAGCUCACUGGUAUUUCAUAAACACCAUUUGUUGUCAUGUGGUUAAAUUAAAACUGAGGAUAUCAAACAUCAAACAGUAUGUUAAUGUCAAGUAUGCUUGAAUAAAUAGUAAGAGUUCAACUGAAUGGAAUAUGUGGAUUGCUAGCUAAUUAAGCAAGAAGCAGGUGUGAAAAAAAUCUAAUUUAGGCAAUUUUUUAUAAUUAAUAAUGUUUACUUGUAGUACCCUUCUAAUGGGGCUCCAGUUUAGCCUCUUGUGAAUUGCUAGGAGUUUACUCCAGUAUUUUAAAAUUAUAAUUGAAUGGAGAGUUUUACGAGAUAUCAGGUUUCCUUGCUGAUGAUGAAGCGCUCUGUACAUAGAAAAUUCCUGACAGUACUUUGUAUCAAUAGGAUCAAUUAGCAAGUCACCCCCAGCAAUUAAAACUUAAAACACGCACCCAGGCACACACCCACACCUAAAAGUUCUCUUGUAAACCCCAGCACCAGCGGAGGUAGAAGAGGGCUUGGAUGAACCAACUUGAAGGAAAAUAUUCAGACCAAUCACUGGACAUAGAUGAUGAGGGCUUUGUUGAGUGUCUGCAAACAGCAGUGACAUAGAACAUUUUGUUACAAUUAGGGACCAAAAAAUUAAGAUCCUAUCUAAACUGUCCUGGCAAAUUGCAUACCACCAAUCAAUUAAUCCAAGUAUACAUUUAACUUUGGUUUUCUUUUCCAAGAAGCCAAAUGGAAGAAGAGGAGGAGAAAAUGUCCACAGAUGCGAAAACAGACCUGGACUAUUUCACAGACGUGACAUAUCUACUGCAUUUAAUUAAAAGAAGAAUGUAUGAGAACAAUGUAUCCUUCUCAAUUGGGUCGAGGGAACAAAACAGGACUGGAUUAGAUAGGACAACUGUAAUCUCGAGAGACAGUCCCAUGUUUAAUGGGAGCACCACAUGUUUGAUAUGCAGGGAAGUAAGUGGGUGUCCUGGACACAAUCCACUAUUCAUCAUAAUACCACAGCCCUGUUCAUUCCCAGAGAAGAGACUGAAAACCAUGAAACCAUAUGUAGAAUAUUAAAAAUCAUUUAACGUUAAAAUGCACAUAAUGAAAGCAUGCACUUUGGGCAAGGCUGCAGUCCAAGAGAGCUCUGAGAAAUCUCCAGUUCAGUAGAUAAUGCUUGUAAAGGUAAACUGAGUUGUACACACAAACACACACACACAUACACGUACUUUUAUAGGAACUCAGUCCUUAGUUCUGCGAUGCUGCCUUUUCUCACUGGUUUCCUUGCUGAUUUCUGUAGUGAGGUCAGUAUUAAUAAUUGAUGGAGCAAUGAUACCUAGAGCAUCAGUACAUUAAUUUAUAAUUAAAGAUGAGAAACACCAGUUCCUCUCCCACCACCCAUCGGUUGGUAUUAAGUUUUAUAGACACACACACACACACAAAAUCUAUGGCAGAUAUUACAUUGUUCUGUAGACAGAGUCAAUAACCUUACUCUAUUUCCAUGCUCUUUUCAUUGCCACUGAAUUAAUCACAGCCCUGCCCCAAACCACACGGAAUUUUAUUUCCCCUAAGAGCGAUGUUUACUUUGGGUUACUUUGUUGGAACUCGGAGUACUUAUUCAGUCUAUAAAGAUUUAGGGUAACGCAUUUUGUUCGGCAACCUUAAAAAGCAGGCACUGACAGACCUGUCUUACACUGCUUUGCUCCCCUGCGGAUUCUGUAUGC
rnacentral:lncRNA from 1 species